GUUUCUGUGGCCUAGUGGUUAUGGCAUCUGUCUUACAAAGUAAUGGUGGAUCAUCCAAGUACCAACCCUUGGGUCGCCAUCGCGGCAACACAGAAGAUCGCCGGUUCGAUCCCGGCCAGAAACA